GACGAACGCUGGCGGCGUGCUUAACACAUGCAAGUCGAACGGAAAGGCCCUGCUUUUGUGGGGUGCUCGGGUGGCGAACGGGUGAGUAACACGUGAGUAACCUGCCCUUGACUUUGGGAUAACUUCAGGAAACUGGGGCUAAUACCGGAUAGGAGCUCCUGCUGCAUGGUGGGGGUUGGAAAGUUUCGGCGGUUGGGGAUGGACUCGCGGCUUAUCAGCUUGUUGGUGGGGUAGUGGCUUACCAAGGCUUUGACGGGUAGCCGGCCUGAGAGGGUGACCGGCCACAUUGGGACUGAGAUACGGCCCAGACUCCUACGGGAGGCAGCAGUGGGGAAUAUUGCACAAUGGGCGGAAGCCUGAUGCAGCAACGCCGCGUGCGGGAUGACGGCCUUCGGGUUGUAAACCGCUUUCGCCUGUGACGAAGCGUGAGUGACGGUAAUGGGGAAAGAAGCACCGGCUAACUACGU
rnacentral:rRNA from 1 species